rnacentral:lncRNA from 1 species
CCUCAGCUGGCCCUGGGAUGAGGACUCAGGAGAUUCAGGGUCCUGCCUGGGGUGGGGUCCAGGUCUGGCCAAGUCUCCCUCACCUCAGGCCCAGGAAGUAGCUUUCCAGCUGGCUCAGAACUGGGUCCGAACCAACUUUGAGGUCUACUCCAGAGAUUCGGCCAUGUAUGAGAAGGUGAGCUGCUCCUGAGCCCAGACCCUCCUGGGGCUCCUCCCCCUGGGGAGCAGGGGAGGGCGGGGAUCGCCAGGCUUUGCAAAGCCCAGGGACAGUGGUGACGCCCGGUGGUCAUUCUCAGGCACUGCAGGGGCGGGAGCUGCAGGCCAGAGCCCCUUCUCCCAAAGAGGCUCACAUGUGUUGCUCCCCCUGGAGGGCUGGGAUGGGGAGCCUGGGGGCCUUGCCGACCUUACAGCCUGUCCUGUUCUCAGUAUGACAUCAGCAAUGGUGGUCAGCCAGGUGGUGGAGGGGAGUACGAGGUUCAGGUGAGUGGCCGACACCCUACAGGGAACUACGGGGCUGGUUGUCCCCACAGCAGGCCAUGACUCCCCCCCACCCCCCGCCCCCCCACCGCCAUCUGGGCCUCUGAUUCCUCCCAUUAUGUGGGUCCACUGGGAGGAGGCCAACUGGAGCUCCUUUGUACCCCUGGGGCUAGGCAGUUCCAGGGCGUGUGGGUGGGGAUCUCACAGCCUCUGAAGGACCCCACUGGUCCUGUCUCUACAGGAGGGCUUUGGCUGGACCAAUGGAGUGGUCCUGAUGCUCCUGGAGCGCUAUGGUGACCGGCUGAGCUCCGGCAGCCAGACAAGUUUUCCUGCAGCUCCACUGCCUUACAGCUGCCCUUCUGCUCAGCCUCCUGCUCGGCCUCCUGCCACAGUGAUGGGCCUCCUUGCCCCGUGGGCCUCAUUAAACUUCUGUCCCUGUGUCAUCUCAGGCCUGAGCCAUCCGUCCUCCAGCACAAGCACCGAGCACCGCUGAGCCUCCUCAUGGGCCCCUGCCUCACGUUGCACCUGGGACAGAAUCUGGAGCCACUGUAUCUGAAACAUGAAAGGAAAAGGUAAUUCUCUGCAGUGGUGAUCUUGGGGCCAGCGGAGCAACUGGCAUCUGGUCCCAGAUGUGUGACCUAAUUAUGCCCCUGACACUCAUGUGCCUGGAGCCCCACAGCAAC